GACUCUCGACAAUAGAUAUUUCGGCUCUAGCAUCGAUGAAGAAUGUAGCAAUAUACGAUACUUGGUGUGAAUUGCAGAAUUCCGUGAACCAUAGAGUAUUUGAAUGCAAGUUGUGCCAGAAGCCAUUAGGUCGAGGGCACGUCUGCCUGGGCAUCA